GGUGCUUCACAGGGAUGGAACAGACUCGAAGUACUGCAAAGUUGUUAACUUGUUGAAUGCCUUGAACACGCUGUUCGACGCCAUCAUUUCCAACUAUGAUGUCUAAAAGGUUGAAAGCAUCGACGAUGCCUACAUGUUGGUCUCUUGCCUACUGAUCCGUAAUGGCAGCCGUCAUGCUGGUAUGAUCGUCUCCGCUGCAUGGCAUCUCCUGGAGGGCGUUGAUAGUUGAUCAUGCCACACAAACUGACAAGAUGAGAAACUCAAACUCCUCAUCGGUAUUCACUCAGGGCAAAGGUGAAAGCCUGACGUACUGGCUCGAGGGACAUGAUCCAAGCUACAAGAUCGACCGAAUCAAGCCACCCAAACAAAACUUGUAAACAACCAGAAUAUUAUCCCAACAUUAUCUGCAACGCAUUUGGAUCAGCAAUUUUUUGUAAAGAGGUGAUGGCAGAUCUACCAGCUCACUUCACAUCAGAGAGCUCUCUUGAGAAGCACUAUAGAAG
rnacentral:lncRNA from 1 species